GCCUCUUUAGCUCAGUGGCAGAGCACUGGUCUUGUAAACCAGGGGUCGUGAGUUCAAUCCUCACAGGAGGCA
ensembl:tRNA tRNA:Thr-TGT-2-2 transfer RNA:Threonine-TGT 2-2